CUCUAGCAUAAAGUAUUAAAGGUGACGCCUGCCCAGUGAUUUAUUUAAACGGCCGCGGGAUCCUCCACCGUGCAAAGGUAGCAUAAUCACUUGUCCCCUAAAUAGUGACUAGUAUGAACGGCCUAAUGAAGAUUUAACUGUCUCUUAUAAUUGAUCUAUGAAACUAAUUUAUCAGUACAAAAACUGUUAUACUAACAUAAGACGAAAAGACCCUGUGGAACUUUAAGCUCAACUCACCACACAUGACGCCACUAGCUUUUAGUUGGGGCAACUUUGGAAAUAAACAGAACUUCCAAUACCUAUAAGAUAUACACAUCUACUUCACCACUACAUAUGACCCAGUCCAACUGAUUAAAGAACCAAGCUACCCCAGGGAUAACAGCGCCAUCCCCUCCAAGAGCCCAAAUCGACGAGCGGGGUUUACGACCUCGAUGUUGGAUCAGGGCCCCCAAACAGUGCAACAGCUGUUAAUGGUUUGUUUGUUCAACAAUUAAUAGC
rnacentral:rRNA from 1 species